rnacentral:tRNA from 1 species
GCAUUCGUAGUGUAACGGUAGCACACUCGGCGUGAAUUCGAGAAGUCCAGGGUUCGAGUCCUGGUGAGGGUA